GGGUUGUGAGGUUAAGCGACUAAGCGUACACGGUGGAUGCCCUGGCAGUCAGAGGCGAUGAAGGACGUGCUAAUCUGCGAUAAGCGUCGGUAAGGUGAUAUGAACCGUUAUAACCGGCGAUUUCCGAAUGGGGAAACCCAGUGUGUUUCGACACACUAUCAUUAACUGAAUCCAUAGGUUAAUGAGGCGAACCGGGGGAACUGAAACAUCUAAGUACCCCGAGGAAAAGAAAUCAACCGAGAUUCCCCCAGUAGCGGCGAGCGAACGGGGAGCAGCCCAGAGCCUGAAUCAGUGUGUGUGUUAGUGGAAGCGUCUGGAAAGGCGCGCGAUACAGGGUGACAGCCCCGUACACAAAAAUGCACAUGCUGUGAGCUCGAUGAGUAGGGCGGGACACGUGGUAUCCUGUCUGAAUAUGGGGGGACCAUCCUCCAAGGCUAAAUACUCCUGACUGACCGAUAGUGAACCAGUACCGUGAGGGAAAGGCGAAAAGAACCCCGGCGAGGGGAGUGAAAAAGAACCUGAAACCGUGUACGUACAAGCAGUGGGAGCACGCUUAGGCGUGUGACUGCGUACCUUUUGUAUAAUGGGUCAGCGACUUAUAUUCUGUAGCAAGGUUAACCGAAUAGGGGAGCCGAAGGGAAACCGAGUCUUAACUGGGCGUUAAGUUGCAGGGUAUAGACCCGAAACCCGGUGAUCUAGCCAUGGGCAGGUUGAAGGUUGGGUAACACUAACUGGAGGACCGAACCGACUAAUGUUGAAAAAUUAGCGGAUGACUUGUGGCUGGGGGUGAAAGGCCAAUCAAACCGGGAGAUAGCUGGUUCUCCCCGAAAGCUAUUUAGGUAGCGCCUCGUGAAUUCAUCUCCGGGGGUAGAGCACUGUUUCGGCAAGGGGGUCAUCCCGACUUACCAACCCGAUGCAAACUGCGAAUACCGGAGAAUGUUAUCACGGGAGACACACGGCGGGUGCUAACGUCCGUCGUGAAGAGGGAAACAACCCAGACCGCCAGCUAAGGUCCCAAAGUCAUGGUUAAGUGGGAAACGAUGUGGGAAGGCCCAGACAGCCAGGAUGUUGGCUUAGAAGCAGCCAUCAUUUAAAGAAAGCGUAAUAGCUCACUGGUCGAGUCGGCCUGCGCGGAAGAUGUAACGGGGCUAAACCAUGCACCGAAGCUGCGGCAGCGACGCUUAUGCGUUGUUGGGUAGGGGAGCGUUCUGUAAGCCUGCGAAGGUGUGCUGUGAGGCAUGCUGGAGGUAUCAGAAGUGCGAAUGCUGACAUAAGUAACGAUAAAGCGGGUGAAAAGCCCGCUCGCCGGAAGACCAAGGGUUCCUGUCCAACGUUAAUCGGGGCAGGGUGAGUCGACCCCUAAGGCGAGGCCGAAAGGCGUAGUCGAUGGGAAACAGGUUAAUAUUCCUGUACUUGGUGUUACUGCGAAGGGGGGACGGAGAAGGCUAUGUUGGCCGGGCGACGGUUGUCCCGGUUUAAGCGUGUAGGCUGGUUUUCCAGGCAAAUCCGGAAAAUCAAGGCUGAGGCGUGAUGACGAGGCACUACGGUGCUGAAGCAACAAAUGCCCUGCUUCCAGGAAAAGCCUCUAAGCAUCAGGUAACAUCAAAUCGUACCCCAAACCGACACAGGUGGUCAGGUAGAGAAUACCAAGGCGCUUGAGAGAACUCGGGUGAAGGAACUAGGCAAAAUGGUGCCGUAACUUCGGGAGAAGGCACGCUGAUAUGUAGGUGAGGUCCCUCGCGGAUGGAGCUGAAAUCAGUCGAAGAUACCAGCUGGCUGCAACUGUUUAUUAAAAACACAGCACUGUGCAAACACGAAAGUGGACGUAUACGGUGUGACGCCUGCCCGGUGCCGGAAGGUUAAUUGAUGGGGUUAGCGCAAGCGAAGCUCUUGAUCGAAGCCCCGGUAAACGGCGGCCGUAACUAUAACGGUCCUAAGGUAGCGAAAUUCCUUGUCGGGUAAGUUCCGACCUGCACGAAUGGCGUAAUGAUGGCCAGGCUGUCUCCACCCGAGACUCAGUGAAAUUGAACUCGCUGUGAAGAUGCAGUGUACCCGCGGCAAGACGGAAAGACCCCGUGAACCUUUACUAUAGCUUGACACUGAACAUUGAGCCUUGAUG
rnacentral:rRNA from 1 species